UGGAUGUCAUCGUGGCCGUACA
rnacentral:miRNA from 1 species